rnacentral:sRNA from 1 species
AGACAAUACUGCAUAACGUUAUGCAGUGUAAAAUGUUUGUCAACAAACCCACGUUGAGAACAACUGGUGACUGUCCAUCUUCGACAUACGUAAGAUGAAUGUCAAGAAACUGAUAACAUUAACUGACAAGAGGAGACAAUGAGAGCUCAACAUCAUUCUUCCUCUCUGGUGAAGGGGAGAGUUGCUAAAUUUGGGUGCACAGCUAAAUUCAAGCACAACAAAGAAAAAGACAGAUGCUAUAAAAAUGCGGUGUUGGCUUCCCAGUUCAGCACUUUUAAAGAGGGACAAACAUUGCAUGUUUGCAACUUCUAAAUGGAAGCAGGGCAUCUGAAAUAUGCUGGAAUCCUCAUCUUAAUGGCCUUAACGCCAUUUUCAAGAAUAUCCUGCUGAAAAAGACAGUUGUCAUUGGUAUAAUGGAUGCAAGACAACACUAGUGAAUUGAAAUUGUUGUUACCACAAAUGGCACACUCCAGGAUUACAUGCUUUCCAAAAACAUCAUUACGGCAUGCAGCCAUUAAGGGAUUCUUUGAAAGUCUAUGUUCUGUAAUGGUGGAGGUUCUCUUAAAGAUUCCAUUAGUAUUAAAAUAAAAACUUAAAAGUUCAAAUGUCUUCAAUACUAGAGACCUGUGAUUUGACAGUACAACAUGGAGCAAUUGUAAAGGACAUAAUUUGUACAUUAUUGAAUAUCAAUAUAUAGUUAUCCAUAAAUUACUGGGCUUUUACAUUGUAUUGUAAUUCUCAACAUUUGCAUAUAUGUUUGAUCUUUGUAAAACGUUUUUGGUAUACAGUACAAUAAGUAAAUACAUUCUUUCU